AGGGGGAAAGGCAGAAAAUAAAUACAUAUAAACAAGGAGAGGAUUGGAAAAACACACUAUGUAAUGUAGAAAACAAGGAUAAGGAUAAGGAUAAGGAAAGGAAGUACAAGUUAUUUGCAAAUGUCAUACAUGACAGAUAA